rnacentral:rRNA from 1 species
CCUACGGGGGGCUGUAGUGGGGAAUAUUGGGCAAUGGGCGCAAGCCUGACCCAGCAACGCCGCGUGAGGGAAGAAUGUCUUCGGAUUGUAAACCUCUGUCCUUGGGGACGAAAAAAAUGACGGUACCCAAGGAGGAAGCUCCGGCUAACUACGUGCCAGCAGCCGCGGUAAUACGCAGGGGGCAAGCGUUGGCCGGAAGUACUGGGCGUAACGGGUGCGUAGGCGGCAUGGCAAGUCAGAUGUGAAAUCCCCGGGCUUAACUCGGGUGGUGCAUUUGAAACUGCCAAGCUUGAGUGCAGGAGAGGAGAGCGGAAUUCCUAGUGUAGCGGUGAAAUGCGUAGAUAUUAGGAGGAACACCAGUGGCGAAGGCGGCUUUCUGGACUGUAACUGACGCUGAGGCACGAAAGCGUGGGGAGCAAACG